UACGUAGGUGGCGAGCGUUGUCCGGAUUUAUUGGGCGUAAAGGGAACGCAGGCGGUAUUUUAAGUCUGAUGUGAAAGCCUUCGGCUUAACCGAAGUAGUGCAUUGGAAACUGGAAGACUUGAGUGCAGAAGAGGAGAGUGGAACUCCAUGUGUAGCGGUGAAAUGCGUAGAUAUAUGGAAGAACACCAGUGGCGAAAGCGGCUCUCUGGUCUGUAACUGACGCUGAGGUUCGAAAGCGUGGGUAGCAAACAGG
rnacentral:rRNA from 1 species